AUUUUAUUUACAAUGAGAGUGUUUCAUCUUUGCACGUAACUCUCAAGUCUGUGAUGUUCCAGCGGUGUAUAUGUAUACGUGCAUAUAUCAUGUAUUUGUAUAAGCCUACGUAUUUAUAUAGUGCCCUAGCGAGUAAGUAUAGCUUCCAAGCUGUUGUUUUAAUUGUCAACCUCGAGCUUGAUUACAAACUUUUUUUUUCUUUUUGUUAUCAGUCCUGUAAUCUGUUUAAUAUAUAGAUCAAUCAUUAUAUAUUUGUUUAUGAGGGUAUGAAUGCCUCUCCAGCUCUCCUUCCCCGUAACUAAUAAUUCCCCAAGAUUUGUAGUACUAUCGUGUCAUAAUAGCGUUCUAAAAUAAAUAAUUCGUGUAUAAUUCAUCUGUGUGACAUAGAUAAUACCAAAAGAAAAGUUAACACCUCGC
rnacentral:lncRNA from 1 species